rnacentral:misc_RNA from 1 species
GGUGAAGAACGCAGCGAAAUGCGAUAAGUAAUGUGAAUUGCAGAAUUCAGUGAAUCAUCGAAUCUUUGAACGCACAUUGCGCCCAUUAGCAUUCUAGUGGGCAUGCCUGUUCGAGCGUCAUUUCAACCCUUAAGCCCUGUUGCUUAGCGUUGGGAGCCUACAGUACUGUAGCUCCCCAAAGUUAGUGGCGGAGUCGGUUUCACACUCUAGACGUAGUAAUUUUUUCUCGUCUGUAGUUGAGCCGGUCCCCUGCCGUAAAACACCCAAUUUAUCAAGGUUGACCUCGGAUCAGGUAGGAAUACCCGCUGAACUUAAGCAUAUCAAUAAGCGGAGGA